rnacentral:rRNA from 1 species
GAGCUUGCUCUUCGAUUCAGCGGCGGACGGGUGAGUAAUGCCUAGGAAUCUGCCUGGUAGUGGGGGACAACGUUUCGAAAGGAACGCUAAUACCGCAUACGUCCUACGGGAGAAAGCAGGGGACCUUCGGGCCUUGCGCUAUCAGAUGAGCCUAGGUCGGAUUAGCUAGUUGGUGGGGUAAUGGCUCACCAAGGCGACGAUCCGUAACUGGUCUGAGAGGAUGAUCAGUCACACUGGAACUGAGACACGGUCCAGACUCCUACGGGAGGCAGCAGUGGGGAAUAUUGGACAAUGGGCGAAAGCCUGAUCCAGCCAUGCCGCGUGUGUGAAGAAGGUCUUCGGAUUGUAAAGCACUUUAAGUUGGGAGGAAGGGCAGUAAGCGAAUACCUUGCUGUUUUGACGUUACCGACAGAAUAAGCACCGGCUAACUCUGUGCCAGCAGCCGCGGUAAUACAGAGGGUGCAAGCGUUAAUCGGAAUUACUGGGCGUAAAGCGCGCGUAGGUGGUUUGUUAAGUUGAAUGUGAAAGCCCCGGGCUCAACCUGGGAACUGCAUCCAAAACUGGCAAGCU